rnacentral:ncRNA from 1 species
CGUCCCGGUGGGGCACGACACCUAUAAGAGAACUGAGAAAAAACCAACCCCACCCAACCCCGACCCCAACUACCCCAGUCACACGUAUGGGUGACGGUGCGUCCGAAAGGCGGAUAGGUGGGGUACGGUCGGUCGUAACAACCUCACACAACCAGACGACCCCCGGCAGGACGGCAAUCCUGACGAGGGCCUGACCACCCAGGAAGAAGAGACCUUCCCG